CGGGGUGUGGCGCAGUCUGGUAGCGUACAAGUCUGGGGGACUUGGGGCCGUAGGUUCAAAUCCUAUCACUCCGACCA
rnacentral:tRNA from 1 species